AUUGACCGCUCCCGGCAGGCCUAACACAUGCAAGUCGAGCGAGCGGCGGACGGGUGAGUAAUGUAUGGGGACUGCCCGAUAGAGGGGGAUAACUACUGGAAACGGUGGCUAAUACCGCAUACUAUCGGAUAACCCAUAUGGGAUUAGCUAGUAGGUGGGGUAAAGGCUCACCUAGGCGACGAUCUUUAGCUGGUCUGAGCGGAUGAUCAGCUACACUGGGACGGAGACACGGCCCAGACUCCUACGGAGGCAGCAGUGGGGAAUAUUGCACAAUGGGCGCAAGCCUGAUGCAGCCAUGCCGCGUGUAUGAAGAAGGCCUUAGGGUUGGAAAGUACUUUCAGCGGUGAGGCGUUACGAGCAGAAGAAGCACCGGCAAACUCCGUGCCAGCAGCAGCGUUAAUAC
rnacentral:rRNA from 1 species